rnacentral:rRNA from 1 species
UGACUGAGUGAAUGCUGAGCUUGAUGCCGCGUGAGUGAAGAAGGCCUUCGGGUUGUAAAGCUCUUUCGGCCGGGAAGAAAUCGCAUAGGUUAAUACCCUGUGUGGAUGACGGUACCGGAAUAAGAAGCACCGGCUAACUACGUGCCAGCAGCCGCGGUAAUACGUAGGGUGCGAGCGUUAAUCGGAAUUACUGGGCGUAAAGCGUGCGCAGGCGGUUUCGUAAGACAGAGGUGAAAUCCCCGGGCUCAACCUGGGAACUGCCUUUGUGACUGCGAAGCUAGAGUACGGCAGAGGGGGGUGGAAUUCCACGUGUAGCAGUGAAAUGCGUAGAGAUGUGGAGGAACACCGAUGGCGAAGGCAGCCCCCUGGGCCGAUACUGACGCUCAUGCACGAAAGCGUGGGUAGCAAACAGGAUUAGAUACCCUGGUAGUCCACGCCCUAAACGAUGUCAACUAGGUGUUGGGUGGGUAAAACCAUUUAGUACCGUAGCUAACGCGUGAAGUUGACCGCCUGGGGAGUACGGCCGCAAGGUUA